rnacentral:rRNA from 1 species
CGAACGGGAUCUUCGGAUCUAGUGGCGGACGGGUUAGUAACGCGUGGGAACGUACCCUUUUCUACGGAAUAGCCUCGGGAAACUGAGAGUAAUACCGUAUACGCCCUUCGGGGGAAAGAUUUAUCGGAGAAGGAUCGGCCCGCGUAAGAUUAGAUAGUUGGUGGGGUAAUGGCCUACCAAGUCUACGAUCUUUAGCUGGUUUGAGAGGAUGAUCAGCAACACUGGGACUGAGACACGGCCCAGACUCCUACGGGAGGCAGCAGUGGGGAAUCUUAGACAAUGGGGGAAACCCUGAUCUAGCCAUGCCGCGUGAGUGACGAAGGCCUUAGGGUCGUAAAGCUCUUUCGCUGGGGAAGAUAAUGACUGUACCCAGUAAAGAAACCCCGGCUAACUCCGUGCCAGCAGCCGCGGUAAUACGGAGGGGGUUAGCGUUGUUCGGAAUUACUGGGCGUAAAGCGCGCGUAGGCGGACUGGAAAGUUGGGGGUGAAAUCCCGGGGCUCAACCCCGGAACGGCCUCCAAAACUAUCAGUCUAGAGUUCGAGAGAGGUGAGUGGAAUUCCGAGUGUAGAGGUGAAAUUCGUAGAUAUUCGGAGGAACACCAGUGGCGAAGGCGGCUCACUGGCUCGAUAC